UUAGGCCUCUGAAAUAAAAGAAAUAAAUCUAUUUAAGGAGUUUUAUGAAUCUUUAAUUGGAUACACAAGUUUUACUGGCCUGUCUUGGACAAUAAAGUGUUAAAAGAGGGGGGGAAAUGAACUCCAGAAAGCACACUGCAGAACAGAGAUAUUCAGUUACAAUCCUACUUGAUAACAAAAAGCAGCAGGGCUCAAAUGGAAAUCUUGAUGUUGUUAUUGUUUGGCAUAUUUGCUGAACGCAUGAAUGACUACACAGCUGCCAAAAAACGAGCGUGAACAGAUUUUCUAUCAACUAAACAGCUCCAAACUACAAAAUAGUUAAUUUGGAGUCAAUAAUUUUGCCGUUUUUCUAAAAAAAAACACAAAAGUAUCCUAACAGUGUAUAAUGGGAGGGAAAUAACAACUACAAGAGCGGCGUGCAAAUCCUCUAACGUUACAGCCGGGGAACAAACAGACUUGCAGAUGAACCAGCAUGAGUCACUCGGGAAGCAAGAAAACAUAGCAACUCAGGCACUGUGCUGCUGUUUCAUUCUACUGUUGCUUUAAAUGUUUGAGGGUUUGGAUGAAA